UACAGAGGGUGCGAGCGUUAAUCGGAAUUACUGGGCGUAAAGCGUGCGUAGACGGCUAUCUAAGUCGGGUGUGAAAUUCCAGGGCUCAACCUUGGGGCUGCGUUCGAGACGGGUAUUCUUGAGUUCGGAAGAGGGUCGUGGAAUUCCCAGUGUAGAGGUGAAAUUCGUAGAUAUUGGGAAGAACACCGGUGGCGAAGGCGGCGACCUGGUCCGAGACUGACGCUGAGGCGCGAAAGCGUGGGGAGCAAACAGG
rnacentral:rRNA from 1 species